ACGGAAAGAGCUUGCUCUUUUCAGAAUUGAGUGGCAAACGGGUGAGUAACACGUAAACAACCUGCCUUGUACUGGGGGACAACAGUUGGAAACGACUGCUAAUACCGCAUAAGCGCACAGCUUCGCAUGAAGCAGUGUGAAAAACUCCGGUGGUACAAGAUGGACCCGCGUCUGAUUAGCUGGUUGGUGAGGUAACGGCCCACCAAGGCGACGAUCAGUAGCCGGCCUGAGAGGGUGAACGGCCACAUUGGGACUGAGACACGGCCCAAACUCC
rnacentral:rRNA from 1 species